rnacentral:rRNA from 1 species
ACUUUCAACAACGGAUCUCUUGGCUCUCGCAUCGAUGAAGAACGCAGCGAAAUGUGAUAAGUAAUGUGAAUUGCAGAAUUCAGUGAAUCAUCGAAUCUUUGAACGCAUCUUGCGCUCGCUGGUAUUCCGGCGAGCAUGUCUGUUUGAGUGUCGUGAACUCUUCAACCCCCCCUUUUUCUUAUGGAGACUGGGGUGCGGCUUGGUUUCUGAACGCUUGCUGGACUGGAAUUCC